ACGCUGGCGGCACGCCUAACACAUGCAAGUCGAACGAAGUAGCAAUACUUAGUGGCAGACGGGUGAGUAACAUGUAGGUAUCUACCCUUUGGCCUGGAAUAACACGAGGAAACUUGUGCUAAUACCGGAUAAGUCUUUACGGAGAAAGCUUUAUGCACCAUUGGAUGAGCCUGCACUUGAUUAGUUUGUUGGUGGGGUAAUGGCCUACCAAGACUGUGAUCAAUAGCUGAUUUGAGAGGAUGAUCAGCCACAUUGGGACUGAGACACGGCCCAAACUCCUACGGGAGGCAGCAGUGGGGAAUCUUGCACAAUGGAGGAAACUCUGAUGCAGCGAUGCCGCGUGAGUGAAGAAGGCCCUUGGGUUGUAAAGCUCUUUCGUCGGGGAAGAAAAUGACUGUACCCGAAUAAGAAGGUCCGGCUAACUUCGUGCCAGCAGCCGCGGUAAUACGAAGGGACCUAGCGUAGUUCGGAAUUACUGGGCUUAAAGAGUUCGUAGGUGGUUGAAAAAGUUGGUGGUGAAAUCCCAGAGCUUAACUCUGGAACUGCCAUCAAAACUUUUCAGCUAGAGUAUGAUAGAGGAAAGCAGAAUUUCUAGUGUAGAGGUGAAAUUCGUAGAUAUUAGAAAGAAUACCAAUUGCGAAGGCAGCUUUCUGGAUCAUUACUGACACUGAGGAACGAAAGCAUGGGUAGCGAAGAGGAUUAGAUACCCUCGUAGUCCAUGCCGUAAACGAUGUGUGUUAGACGUUGGAAAUUUAUUUUCAGUGUCGCAGCAAAAGCGAUAAACACACCGCCUGGGGAGUACGACCGC
rnacentral:rRNA from 1 species